UAUGUAUAAAUUGAUAAAAUCAUCGAUAGGGUCCAAAACGUAAACAUGAAUCUAAAAACAACUCAGAUAAGUUUCAGCAACAAGACGAGCUCUUCCGUUCAAGAAAAGUUUCAUCUCACUAAUUUCAGCGUCAACUUCCUCCAUAAACUCAAUAAUGAAAUCAACUAAUUUGUGCUUAAGCAUUUCCUCAGUAUGGUAAUUAGUUAUAAGAAAGGAAAUAUCAUAGCCCUAUAACAAAGAAAGGUUAGUUUGAUGAUAUUUACAAAUAGCAAUGGCAACUUCGAAAAAGAAAAAAAAGAAGAACUAUACAAUGGCUGAGGCAGAACAGUGAACACUUAAACUAACGCAAAAUCUCUAGAAAUUCUUCCCUUGAACACUUUUUUGCCAAUUACAAUUUGUAAUAACGUACCUGAACAGGUUUGCGGCGCAAAAUAAAGAAAGAUUCUGCACGACCCAUUAAAAACUGCAUAAAUUUGCGCACAAGAAUUCGUUCAAUUUCAUCGACUUGUUUAAUACGAAUGCUGAAACGAACACUAAUUUCAUAAAUGCAUCAGUAAAAAAAAUCCAAAUAAUGAGAAUGACUUUCAAAACUCCGUUAUUCCAAAUCGAAAGAUCAGUGAAUGUACCAGUUCGAAUCGGAAACAUCGGAUGCCUAAGACAUACCUAUUAACAGAGCUCUCAAUCAAACACUGUUCUUGCUCAUUACGAGAGACCACCAGGGGCUUUAGUAGAAUUUCAGGAGACCGUCCAACCUCAACUUCCGGCUGACUCUGGCGUUCUACAAUUUCUGAUGAGAAUUCCUCUAAUGCUAAAGAAGCAGUCAGAGUAGAACGAACUGCGUUUAAAUAAGGUCUUAAGGUAUUAGAC